UACAGAGGUCCCAAGCGUUGUUCGGAUUCACUGGGCGUAAAGGGUGCGCAGGUGGCUGGGUAAGUUUGAUGUGAAAGCCCCGGGCUUAACCCGGGAAUGGCAUUGAAUACUAUUCGGCUGGAGGAUUGGAGGGGGGACUGGAAUUCUUGGUGUAGCAGUGAAAUGCGUAGAUAUCAGGAGGAACACCGGUGGCGAAGGCGGCCCUCUGGACGAUGACUGACGCUGAGACGCGAAAGCGUGGGGAGCAAACAGG
rnacentral:rRNA from 1 species